UACGUAGGGUGCGAGCGUUGUCCGGAAUUACUGGGCGUAAAGAGCUCGUAGGUGGUUUGUCGCGUUGUUCGUGAAAACUCACAGCUUAACUGUGGGCGUGCGGGCGAUACGGGCAGACUGGAGUACUGCAGGGGAGACUGGAAUUCCUGGUGUAGCGGUGGAAUGCGCAGAUAUCAGGAGGAACACCGGUGGCGAGGGCGGCUCACUGGACCGGUACUGACGCUGAGGCACGAAAGCGUGGGUAGCAAACAGG
rnacentral:rRNA from 1 species